GACGAACGCUGGCGGCGUGCUUAAUACAUGCAAGUCGAACGGAAAGGCCCUGCUCUUGCGGGGUGCUCGAUUGGCGAACGGGUGAGUAACACGUGUGUAUCCUGUCCUUGUCUUUGGGAUAACUUCAGGAAACACGGGCUAAAAUCGGAUAGGAGCUCCUGCUCCAUGGUGGUGGUUGGAAAGUUUCGGCGGUUGGGGCUGGACUCGCGGCUUACCAGCUUGUUGGUGGGGUAGUGGCUUACCAAGGCUUUGACGGGUAGCCCGCCUGAGAGGGGUAACGGCCACCAGGGGACUGAGAGACGGCGCAGUCUGCUACGGGAGGCAGUAGGCGGAAGUAUGACAGAGUGAGGCGGAGCCAGAGACAGCAGCCUCGCGUGCGGGAUGACGUGCUACGGGUGGUAAACCGCUGUCGCAGGUGACGUGGCGGGAGUGACGGUAAUGGAUAAGAAAGCACCGGCUAACUACGUG
rnacentral:rRNA from 1 species